rnacentral:rRNA from 1 species
UACGUAGGGUGCAAGCGUUAAUCGGAAUACUGGGCGUAAAGCGUGCGCAGGCGGUUCUAUAAGACAGAUGUGAAAUCCCCGGGCUCAACCCUGGGAACUGCAUUUGUGACUGUAGAGCUGGAGUACGGCAGAGGGGGAUGGAAUUCCGCGUGUAGCAGUGAAAUGCGUAGAUAUGCGGAGGAACACCGAUGGCGAAGGCAAUCCCCUGGGCCUGUACUGACGCUCAUGCACGAAAGCGUGGGGAGCAAACAGG